rnacentral:lncRNA from 1 species
GAUAAGUCUGUGCCAGGGCAACGGUCCAUUUCGGUCAUGUUGCCCUGGUCAUCCUUGCCCUGUUUUUACACAUUAAACAUGCAGGAGCAAUGCGUCAACUGUUCCAGUUAGUAAAAGACUGCAACUGAGAUGUUCUUACAUUUAUUUAGUUCCAUAUAAAAGGUAUUUUUGUUCACAGGACAAAAGGGAUGAAAGCUUUUCGGUGAUGUGGAUAUGUCUUAAACUUGCUCCUGUAGUACUCAUGACAGAGCUGUGCAGCAAGUGCUUGGUUACAGAGAACGUACAGCACCACCAUCCACCAGGAAAUCUCCAACAGCUUUUUUCCUACCUGAGCUGUCAGUCCUCAUCUUGGCCAGCAGAGAGAGGGACUGGUGCUGGAGAAAUGAGGCCCAGAAGAAGAGAAGAGUCCCGACUACAUGAUACCAUGUUAGCUGAUUAAAGAAAGAAACUGACUCUGGAAUUGCAAAUGCAAAUAUACAAAAAGUUAUUUAAAUUCAAGGAAAUGUCCGGAUGAAAUUUUAAGAUGCUUUAUUCUAAAAGAGUUCAUUUAAAAAACUAAACGUGUGCGUGUACAAUUUAGUCAUAAAACAAUUUGACAAAGGGAUUGGAAUUAGGAAACUGUACUAACCUGACUGUGGAAGAGAAUCAUUUGUACACAGCACAGUUAGUCCAAGUAUGAUAUAAUAACUCAAGCCAAAUGCAUAUUGAACCACAUUGAUCACACCAUCAGAGAAUACGCUGACAAACAGGCACUCCAACAGUCGUCUUAGUGUAUGAACCCAUAGGAGCACUUGUAAAAGCAGAGUGGACAGAUGUAUCUCUGAAAAUGACACACAAUUGUUUUUAAGCUUGUUAUAACUCAGCAGAACACACUACAAAAGAUAAAUAAUAAUAAAAAUUAUACUAAAAAUACAGGGUCUCCCUUAAAAGAAUAGUUCAUUUGUUAAUUUACACCCAGUAGCAAUCAGUUGCAAAUAA